rnacentral:rRNA from 1 species
GAUGAACGCUAGCUACAGGCUUAACACAUGCAAGUCGAGGGGCAGCACAGUGUAGCAAUACAUGGGUGGCGACCGGCGCACGGGUGCGUAACGCGUAUGUAACCUACCUCAAACAGGGGCAUAACACUGAGAAAUUGGUACUAAUUCCCCGUAACACCUUGGGAGGCAUCUCUUGGGGUUGAAAGUUCCGGCGGUUUGAGAUGGACAUGCGUUGUAUUAGCUAGUUGGUGAGGUAACGGCUCACCAAGGCGACGAUACAUAGGGGGACUGAGAGGUUAACCCCCCACAUUGGUACUGAGACACGGACCAA